CUUUCAGGUACUAGGAACACUUUCAGGUACUGGGAACACUUUCAGGUACUAGGAACACUUUCAGGUACUGGGAACACUUUCAGGUACUGGGAACACUUUCAGGUACUAGGAACACUUUCAGGUACUGGGAACACUUUCAGGUACUAGGAACACUUUCAGGUACUGGGAACACUUUCAGGUACUGGGAACACUUUCAGGUACUAGGAACACUUUCAGGUACUGGGAAC